rnacentral:lncRNA from 10 species
UUUGGAAUUUAUGAUAUACUGUGCACAUGUGGAAUUUAAGCUAUAGAUACUUGCAUAUGUGCAAAAUAGUGUACAAAAUUAACGACUGAAGCAGUUUGUUAUAGCAGAAAAUUAAAACAGUUUAUCUGUCCAUCAGUAGACAAACUGUUAAAUAAAUUACUGUAUAUCCAGAUAAUGAAGUCCUACAUAGAAUGAGGAAGGUCUGUCUAUACCAGUAUGGAAAGAUCUCCAAGACACAUAAUUUAAAAAAAAAUCAAAAGUGCAGAGCAGUGUGUAUCAUACUACAACUUGCGUUUUUUUAACAAAUAAAGGAGGGAAGAGAAUUGCUUGAAUGUAAAACAAUUCUCUGAAAUCCUGUAGGGUUGUGAACAGAGUGAAUGGAGAACAGGAGUGGAAGGGAAGCUUUUCCAAUGAUGCCUUUCUACACACUUUAAAUUUUAUCAAACGCAAGUAAACCUCCCUCUUGAUUGCCUUCUCCUCUUGGGUCCUGUCUUUACUUCUGUCCACCACUUCCUUACCGGGGUGACUGCCGGCAGGACUUGGGGUUUGUCUUUCCCACUUGGCAUCUAAAUCGAAAUCCUUUACCCUUUGAGCCCAUAUUAGUUCUUCUUUCCCGCUAAUGUCUAAACUGACCUAGAAAUAAAAAACUUUUCUUCCUCCCUCUCCCCCUCCUUCCUUCUCUUUCUCUCCUUCUCCUCCCAUCCCUCACCCCACACAAAGGCAUUCUGUGUGUGAAACAUUAAAAAGGGUUCCCUUCCUUACUUGAAUAAACCUGCCCACUCAGCCUCAAGGCUGCUCCCAGAGAUGUCCUCGGGUAACUUGGAGACUGUGAACAGUGCCAAAAAACACACAAUAUCAUGAUAACUUCCCAGACUCCAAGUUCCAGUGAGGCUAAACUAGAAGAGGACAGUGAUGUGACUGCUUCUUGGUCAGAAGAAAAACUUGAAGUGAAAGUGCUCUUUGUUUCCUGGGGACAAAAGUUAAAAAGGAACAAGGAGAAUUCCCGUGAAGGUCAGUUUCUCCUUCCAGAUUUUGUGGCAGAGAAACUAGUGAAUUUCAAGUUCCUUGUGUUAAGUAAGUUUAGCCUACUGCUUCCUUACAUAUUUUAAAUUCGUCCUAAAGGGUUCUCUGUACUCCACAAACUGUAACCUAAAUGGGCUUGUAAAUGGACUAUAGCCUACUCUUUGCCACUCACCAUGUUUUGACCAAUCAAAGGUGGCCCAGUGUUCAAACCAUGUUCAAAUAAGGCAAACGUCGAGCUGGAACCAAUCCGGCUGUUUCUGUGGCUUACUUCCACCUUCCAUACACUGCUUAUCAUUUUGUGUCCAUAAAUCAUCUUCCACCACAUGGGUGCACUGGAGUCUCUGAGCCUAUUCUGGCUCAGGAGGCCGCCUGAUUCACGAAUCAUUUUUUGCUCAAAGUCUUUUAAAUUUAAUUUGGCUAAAGUUUUUCUUUUAACACCUACAAUGCUAAGAUUCUUUGUUUCCAAGUGACACUGUGUGGACUCACCUACCCCCAGCCACCACCUUGUCAGGUUUUCAAAGUAUCCAGCACUGCAGUUCCACAGUCAUCCCUGCAGUGAAACCAGACUCAAGGGCACCCUGUGGCCACUGACAGCUGAGACCCCUGAGAGCCUGUAUUACAUGCAUGUCCUUGAUGAAAGCUGGGUGGGGCUGUAAAAAAGUGAAAAAUCUGUUUUCCUUCUAAAAACUAUUUCCUGCAGGAAUUUCCUGGUUUGUUCCUGUGGAAAAUAUGGAGUCUAGAUCGAAGAAGGAAAACAUGCCUCUAGGGAGGCCACAUGCCCAAGACUUGUGGCCCUGGCGUCUCCUGGUUUGAACUCCUUGGCGUCCCUGGUUUGAACCACACAUUUCUUGGGGAAAUCUCUAAGUCUGGGAGACAGAGCUAGGCCUCCCUGCACGCCUUUACGCCAGGCCUGGGGAAGAGAGAGGAAACCAUCUGAGUGCCUGCAUGGCUUCCAGCCUUGCAGGAACAGGGAGACCUGCUUAAGGGUGUGUCUUUCCGCGUUUGCCCAUGAGGAAGCAGGCCUCUGCCACUGGGAGAAGGUAGCAUGAGAAAGACCUGCAUUGGAAUCUGGCUCCAUGCCUUUCUAGCUGUGUGACCUUGGGCAUGUCACUUAACCUCUCUGAGCCUCCACUUCUUCAUCUAUAGAACAGGGGAGAAGAAAACCUGCCUUCUAGAGUUGUUUUGAAGAUUGAAUGAAAUAACUUUUAUAAAGCCUUGAUAGAUGAACUACCCACCCCUCCUCCCUCUGUUCCCUUUUCCUGGCUCUCUCAGCUUCUUGGUGCAUUGAGGGGGCACCUACCGCAGGCAGGCCACAUAUCCAACACUUUAGUCCUUCUCCAGGGACCAUACAUCACAGAAAUCCUGUGUCCAAGCACAAGUUUCAGCAAAGACUCCUUCCCCCUUGAUAACAAGUGUUUAGGUUGCUGACGGGGCAUAAGAGCCAAGCACAAAAAACAGCCCAGCCUCCAGAUCCCAAGGAAGGUGCAUGCUCAGAGCACUGUCCUUCCACCCAGUCCCCUCACCUGUCACCACAAGAGCCUUGAGCGUCCAUGGAGCUUCAGCUCUCAGCCACUCAUUGGCAUCCAGGAGAUAGUGUCCAGGACCCGUCCAUCCCUGGAAAGCAGGCUGGCUGCCCCCUCAUUGCUUGGCUCCUUAAUUUUUGAUAAUCAUAAACCCUAGGGUCAAAGAGCUGGGCUGUAACACAAUAGGGAGUGCAUUCCCCAGUGUAUUCCCCCGUGUGGUCACAGGGAAUGAGCCUGGAGCAAGGGAGCCCAGCAGGCUGAGAAUCUGCAGUGUGCUGGGCCUGGGCUUGGCAUGAAGGCACGAGAUGUCGGAGGCGUGGCUGCCACCCAGGAGGACACACCUGAUGGGGCUCCAGGAACAGGACAAUGGUGGAGACGUCACAUCCAGAAUAACUUUGUUAGGAGACUGAACUUGACAGUCAGGAGUUUUACAUUGCAGGUAUCAAAAAGCCACCUAAAAUUGCCUUAAGUAAUAGAGGUGAUCUAAUGGCUCAAAAAACCACCAACUCUAGGAAGACAGACAGGGUGACCUGAAAGUGGGUUUCACCUGGUGUUUUUCUGCCAUUCUGUGCAUGGCGUCAGCUUCCUCCCAAGACUGGCACUGCAUAGGACAUCGGGUGUUUGCCAACCCAGUUGAAGCUCUCUGCUUCCUUGCUCACCACCAGCAGAAAGGUGAGGGCUAUGCCCUGCAUUCCAGGUGACAGGGAAGGUUUACAUCGGGACUCAGUCACACUUUCUGGGUACUGUACAUUUCAUAGCAGGAGCCAGGUUAUACUAAAGGAGUCCUGGCCUGAGGAUACCAGCACCCUAUAGAGAUGGAGAACCCCAGGCAGCUCAGGGGCUGAGGGGCUGAGUGACAGUGAGCACUGCCCACAGAGGGGGCACUCUGAAGUCAGGAGGGGUGGGAAACAGGUGCAGAUCGGCAGCCGGCAGAGGCCCACCCAGGUGAGCACAGGUGGACCUGAUGGUGGAUGGGGACAAAGAGUGUGCUGGUUGGGAGGAGAAGGCGGGGGCCUGUAGCUGGUCUGGGAAUUCCCAAGCUGAGCAAACGGUAUGUCAAGGCCUGUGGUUGGGCUUGUUAACAUAAACACCACACUCUUAAAUGAUCUGUAAGAGGUAUCUUCUGAGCCAAUAUGAGUGACCAUGGCCUGGGGAUCUCAAGAGGUCCUGAAAACGUGUGCCGGGGCCGUCGUUUUCUACAUUUGAGGGGACAGGAAUUGGAGUAACAUCAUAAAUCAAUCCAUGGAAGGUGUACAUUGACUCGGCCUAACAAGGUGGGAUAUCUUGAAGUCGGGGGUGUUAUAGGUCAUAGGUGGAUUCAAAGAUUUUCCGAUUGGCAAUUGGUUGAGAGUUCAGCUUUGUCUAAAGACGUGAAGUUGGUACAAAGGAAUGCUUCAGUUCAGAGAGAGGGUCUGCCUCUGCCACGUGAUGCUGUCCCAGAGUCAGGUAGGAAAGUCAGCCACAGUAUCCUCAGUGAUUUUACAACCCAUUGAAGGAGACUCUGUGGUUUCUAGGUGUGUGUUAAUUCUUGCCUUGCAUGGCCUCAGGUCUUGUUCAUAAUCUGUAACUGAUUGUCCAGAGUCCAGUCUGAAUAAUCUAACUAUGCCUAUUUUAUACUCCAAAGGUGCAGGGCUUUCAUGAGGUGUCUCUGACCUCCCCUUCCACCAUGGCCAGGAAUUCAUUUUCAAGUUUCCCUGGGGUCCCCUUGACUAAGAGGGGGCCUGUUCCAUUGGUUGGGGUCUCAGGAUUGCAGGCCUUAGGGCAGCCUCACAGCAUGGUGCAGGGCGCUUGGUUGGGUUUUCCUGAACCCUGAACCCCAUGGCUCAUAGGAUAAGGGAACUGUGGGCCACCCGGAUUCUGCUGAGAUUCCUUUCCCCAGGUGCAGAUGCGGGUUUGGCCUUGGCCCUUUCUGUUCCUUUCAGAAGCCCACGGAGUGGAGGACAGAACGGUUUGGGGUCAGGGACAGAGGCUCCUGUCACUGAGACUGCCCUCAGUGGGACAGAGGGAAGAGACUAUUGAUGCAGUUCGUCUGCCUCUCUGUGACACUGAUGUGUAGGCCCAGUAAUUAAAGUCCACUCCUGGCAGCCAGCCUUGAACAUAGAACUGAUCGGCCACACAGAAAACCUGAAACAAAGCCUCUAAAAUGCAGCCUCUCAAAAACGCUCACAGGAGUUUUCUUAAUCAGACUUAGCGUAGCCAGUGAGCUUCUGUUGCCUGCGGUGACGUGGGUGCUAUUGUUCCCACUAAAAGCCCAGACCUCUGCCUCAGGAGACAGGGCUCAGCUGCAGCCUCCUCAACUAAAACAUGAAGGGCUGCUUCGUGGGCGCCAAAGCGGCUCCUUAAACUCGCAAUGGUGUGCAAAUUUAUGGGCUCACUUUCUACAUCAGAUCUUCAAAGGUCUCUGUGAUUCCAAAAGCUUGGGAACUAUUAAAUUUGAUCAUUUCUGAAAUGUCUUCCAGUUUAAAAGUCUUCAGUUCCAGUUCAUUUUCAAUUCCUGAAUAAAGGGAUGAGUCUUGGAGCUUCUGGAAGCUGGCCUGGAACUGAGCACUUGCUGCAGACAAUGCCUGAAGUGCAAACCCAAAGCAAUAAGGAAAAAACAGAAAUUUUCACACCAAAGACCCUGUGUUGGGCUCGGAAGAACUGGUGGCUUAACUGAGGAGUCACGGAACACUGCUCUCGGAAACUGUUAGGGCAAUUGAAAAAAAAAAAAAAGAAUAAAGACAAUGAAGAGGCUUAAUUCUCCCUGUUAAAAACAAGGGAAGCGGAGGGCAGCCAAGAUGGCCGAAUAGGAACAGCUCUGGUCUACAGCUCCCAGCGUGAGUGACGCAGAAGACGGGUGAUUUCUGCAUUUCCAUCUAAGGUACCAGGUUCAUCUCACUAGGGAGUGCCAGACAGUGGGCACAGGACAGUGGGUGCAGUGCACUGUGCAUGAGCUGAAGCAGGGUGACGCAUUGCCUCACUCGGGAAGCGCAAGGGAUCAGGGAGUUCCCUUUCCUAGUCAAAGAAAGGGGUGACAGACAGCACCUGGAAAAUCGGGUCACUCCCACCCUAAUACUGCGCUUUUCCGAUGGGCUUAAAAAACGGCGCACCAGGAGAUUAUAUCCCGCACCUGGCUCGGAGGGUCCUACGCCCACAGAGUCUCGCUGAUUGCUAGCACAGCAGUCUGAGAUCAAACUGCAAGGUGGCAGCGAGGCUGGGGGAGGGGUGCCCACCAUUGCCCAGGCUUGCUUAGGUAAACAAAGCAGCCGGGAAGCUCAAACUGGGUGGAGCCCACCACAGCUCAAGGAGGCCUGCCUGCUUCUGUAGGCUCCACCUCUGGGGGCAGGGCACAGACAAACAAAAAGACAGCAGUAACCUCUGCAGACUUAAAUGUCCCUGUCUGACAGCUUUGAAGAGAGCAGGGGUUCUCCCAGCACGCAGCUGGAGAUCUGAGAACGGGCAGACUGCCUCCUCAAGUGGGUCGGGUCCCUGACCCCUGACCCCCGAGCAGCCUAACUGGGAGGCACCCCCCAGUAGGGGGUACUGACUGACACCUCACAUGGCCGGGUACUCCUCUGAGACAAAACUUACAGAGGAACGAUCAGACAGCAGCAUUUGUGGUUCACGAAAAUCCGCUAUUCUGCAGCCACUGCUGCUGAUACCCAGGGAAACAGGGUCUGGAGUGGACCUCUAGCAAACUCCAACAGACCUGCAGCUGAAGGUCCUGUCUGUUAGAAGGAAAACUAACAAACAGAAAGGACAACCACACCAAAAACCCAUCUGUACAUCACCAUCAUCAAAGACCAAAAGUAGAUAAAAC